rnacentral:rRNA from 1 species
GAUGAACGCUGGCGGCGUGCCUAAUACAUGCAAGUCGAGCGAACGGACGAGAAGCUUGCUCCUCUGAUGUUAGCGGCGGACGGGUGAGUAACACGUGGAUAACCUUCUAAUUAGACUUGGAUAACUUCGGGAAACCGUAUUUAAUACUGGAUAAUAUUUUGAACAGCAUGGUUCAAAAGUGAUAGAAGGUUUUGGUGACACUUAUAGAUGGAUCCACGCUGCAUUAGUUAGUUGGUAAGGUAACGGCUAAGCAAGGCAACGUUGCAUAGCUGAGCUGAUAGGGUGAUCGGGGACACUGGAACUGAGACACGGUCCAGGGUCCUACGGGAGGCAGCAGUGGGGAAUUUUCCACAAUGGGCGGAAGCCUGACGGAGCGACGCCACGUGAGUGAUGAAGGUCUGCGGGUCGUAAAACCCUGUUGUUGGGGAAGAAAAUUUGUGUAAGAAACUCUGCACGUCUUGACGGUACCUAAACAGAAAGCCCCGGCUAACUACGUG